rnacentral:rRNA from 1 species
GAUAAGAUCCGUAGUCGAAAGGGAAACAGCCCAGACCACCAGUUAAGGGCCCCAAAUAUAUGUUAAGUGGAAAAGGAUGUGGGGUUGCUUAGACAACCAGGAUGUUGGCUUAGAAGCAGCCACCAUUGAAAGAGUGCGUAAUAGCUCACUGGUCGAGUGACUCCGCGCCGAAAAUGUACCGGGGCUAAACAUAUUACCGAAACUGUGGAGGAACCUCUUCGGAGGUUCGUGGUAGGAGAGCGUUCUAAGGUCGGUGAAGGCAGACCGGACUGACUGGGGGAGCGCUUAGUAGUGAGAAUGCCGGUAUGGGUAGCGCAAGAAGGGUGAGAAUCCCUUCCACCGCGUAUCUAAGGUUUCCUGAGGAAGGCUCGUCCGCUCAGGGUUAGUCGGGACCUAAGCCGAGGCCGAUAGGCGUAGGCGAUGGACAACAGGUAGAGAUUCCUGUACCAGUGCUAAUUGUUUAACCGAUGGGGUGACACAGAAGGAUAGGGAAUCGCACGAAUGGAAAUGUGCGUCCAAGCAGUGAGUGUGAGAAGUAGGCAAAUCCGCUUCUUGCGAAGCAUGAGCUGUGAUGGGGAAGGAAAUUAAGUACAGAAGUUCCUGAUUUCACGCUGUCAAGAAAAGCCUCUAGGAAGAGUAGUACUGCCCGUACCGCAAACCGACACAGGUAGAUGAGGAGAGAAUCCUAAGGUGAGCGAGAGAACUCUCGUUAAGGAACUCGGCAAAAUGACCCCGUAACUUCGGGAGAAGGGGUGCUCUAUUAGGGUGCAAGCCCGAAAGAGCCGCAGUGAAUAGGCCCAGGCGACUGUUUAGCAAAAACACAGGUCUCUGCAAAACCGUAAGGUGACGUAUAGGGGCUGACGCCUGCCCGGUGCUGGAAGGUUAAGAGGAGUGCUUAGCUUCGGCGAAGGUACGAAUUGAAGCCCCAGUAAACGGCGGCCGUAACUAUAACGGUCCUAAGGUAGCGAAAUUCCUUGUCGGGUAAGUUCCGACCCGCACGAAAGGCGCAACGAUCUGGGCACUGUCUC